rnacentral:rRNA from 1 species
UGAGGAAUCUUGCGCAAUGGGGGAAACCCUGACGCAGCAACGCCGCGUGAGUGAAGAAGGCCCUCGGGUCGUAAAGCUCUGUCAUGUGGGAAGAACCUGGCCAAUGCAAAUAGCAUGGGUCACUGACGGUACCACAGGAGGAAGCACCGGCUAACUCCGUGCCAGCAGCCGCGGUAAUACGGAGGGUGCAAGCGUUAUUCGGAAUUACUGGGCGUAGAGGGCGCGCAGGCGGCUCCUUAAGUCAGGCGUGAAAGCCCGGGGCUAAACCCCGGAAGUGCGUCCGAUACUGGGGGGCUUGAGUACGGGAGAGGGAAGUGGAAUUCCUGGUGUAGAGGUGAAAUUCGUAGAUAUCAGGAGGAACAUCGGUGGCGAAGGCGACUUCCUGGACCGAUACUGACGCUGAGGCGCGAAAGCGUGGGUAGCAAACA